AAGAAGGUGUUUAAGAAACAGGUAAAAGGGGUUUAAGAAACAUAUCUGUUUCUUAAACAUAUCUUUUUGUUUUCUUUUGUUUUCUUUUAUCUGUCCCGAGGAAGGUUUUUACCGAUUUACUCCUGAGGGCUUGUAGCUCAGUUGGUUAGAGCGCGCGCUUGAUAAGCGUGAGGUCGGAGGUUCAAGUCCUCCCAGGCCCACCAAUUUAUGAUUGCUGAUAAAUUUGCUGAUAAGUUUUUUGUGAAUGUUUUGAUGGUCUUUUAUCUUACGAUCUUUCACUUUUAUGUUGCAAUCUUUCAAAAGUAUUUGAACUGUUUUAGGGGCCGUAGCUCAGCUGGGAGAGCACCUGCUUUGCAAGCAGGGGGUCGUCGGUUCGAUCCCGUCCGGCUCCACCAUCUUUGGUUAUCAUCAUCGUUAAAGAACAAUGUUUUGCAAUAGAUCUGUAGAUCUUAAGUCUAUCAUCUAUUGCCUGUUCUAUUGAAAUUGUGAAGAGAAGAUAUAUUCAGACAUUACUGUUUUAUUCAGCUAUUGUUGUUUUGUUGUUGCUUUUAAUGUUUAAGUCUCUCCUUUAAGGAAUGACAAAAAGCUUAAAAACACAACGCUAAUUUAAAACACAACGCUAACAUUGUUAAACAAUGUUUAAAGCAAUAUAAUGUGUCGCUAGGGUAUGCUCAAAGCCUUAGCUUUAUGAUUGG
rnacentral:misc_RNA from 1 species